AAUACAUAGCUUAUAAGAAGGGAACCUAGGGAACUGAAACAUCUUAGUACCUAGAGGAAAAGAAAAUAAUAAUGAUUCUGUUAGUAGUGGCGAGCGAACACGGAACAGGCCAAACCGUUCUACGGGGCGGGGUUGUAGGACUUUUGUUAGAGUUACAAAGUUAUUGUAUAGUAGAAGCUAUUGGGAAGUAGCGGCAUAGAGGGUGAUACCCCCGUAUACGAAAUGCAAUAACCUCGAGAAAGUAUCCUGAGUACGGCGAAACACGUGAAAUUUUGUCGGAAUCUGCCAAGACCACUUGGUAAGCCUAAAUACUACCAUUUUACCGAUAGUGAACCAGUACCGUGAGGGAAAGGUGAAAAGCACCCCGAGAGGGGAGUGAAAGAGAUCCUGAAACCAUAUGCUUACAAGAAGGUAGAGCCCGUUAAUGGGUGAUACCGUGCUUUUUGUAGAAAGAGCCGGCGAGUUACUAUUGCAUGCGAGGUUAAGUCGAUAUAGAUGGAGCCGUAGUGAAAGCGAGCCUUAAUAGGGCGUUUAGUAUGCAGUAGUAGACACGAAACCGGGUGAUCUAGCCAUGAGCAGGUUGAAGUUAGGGUAAAACCUAAUGGAGGACCGAACCAGUAUUCGUUGAAAAGACUUUGGAUGACUUGUGGCUAGCGGUGAAAUUCCAAUCGAACCCGGAGAUAGCUAGUUCUCCCCGAUAUAUCUUUAAGGAUAGCGUUAUGUGAAUUGUUGUGGAGGUAGAGCACUGAAUCUAUGAUGGCUGCACCUAGCGGUACUGAUUAGAAUUAAACUCCGAAUGCCAUAACUUGUGCAUAGCAGUCAGAACAUGGGUGAUAAGGUCCAUGCUCGUGAGGGAAACAGCCCAGAUCGUCAGCUAAGGUCCCUAAGUGUAAACUAAGUGUGUAAGGAUGUGGAACUGCACAGACAGCUAGGAUGUUGGCUUAGAAGCAGCCAUCAUUUAAAGAGUGCGUAACAGCUCACUAGUCGAGUGAUUCUGCGCCGAAAAUGUACCGGGGCUUAAGUUUACCACCGAAGCUACGGAUUGUACGCAAGUACAGUGGUAGGGGAGCGUUCCAAGGGUU
rnacentral:rRNA from 1 species